rnacentral:rRNA from 1 species
CAUGUAGGUGGAUAAUUAAGUCAGAGGUGAAAUCCUGCAGCUCAACUGUAGAAUUGCCUUUGAUACUGGUUAUCUUGAGUCAUUAUGAAGUGGUUAGAAUGUGUAGUGUAGCGGUGAAAUGCAUAGAUAUUACACAGAAUACCGAUUGCGAAGGCAGAUCACUAAUAAUGUACUGACACUGAGGGACGAAAGCGUGGGGAGCGAACAGGAUUAGAUACCCUGGUAGUCC